CUCUCUUAAACCAAGUGAUACCUCAAGCCUACUUGUCUAUUUUUCUCUCCACAACUUCUCUUCCAAGUUAAACACACCCCGAAAGUUUGCAGACUUUUUGAAUAGGCUGUCAUAGGGUGGUCAAGACUGCUGUUGGUGGCUGUUUGGAGGAAGGUUCGAGUGUAGUGUUUUGAUCAUGAAAUAAUUGGAGCUUGUUUUGGGAGUUCUUUUAAUAGUUUUUGUUUCUGCAAUGGUGGCUUAGAGGUUUAAUGGCAGGUCACUUGGCCCAUUUACUCUAGAUUUAAUUCUAGUUUUAAGUUUGUUUCUGGUGGCCUGUGCUAUUGUAUUGGUUUUGAAUGCUACUGGUUGUAUUGGCAUGUCUUAUGCCGUUUUUCCUUAAGCUCAAUAAAUUCUUUAGCCUUUUCCAAUA